UUACUACUCCGUCCGUCUGGAACUACUUGUCGCAGAAAUGGAUGUAUCUAUACGUAUUUUUUGUUCUAGAUACAUCUAUUUCUAUACAUUUCUAUGACAAGUAAUUCGGGACGGAGGGAGUAUUUU
rfam:Hordeum vulgare subsp. vulgare, WGS project CAJW01000000 data, contig: morex_contig_89619